UUAUAUAGGUGUAUGUAAUUGCGGGGUUUUAAGUUUUACGGGAAAUCUAACCGAAAGUUUUUUAUUUAAGAAAUUUUCGGUUGGGUUUCCCGUAAAGCUUAAAACCCCACAAUUACAUACGUCUAUAUAA
rfam:Brassica oleracea var. oleracea cultivar TO1000 chromosome C2, whole genome shotgun sequence